AUCUUAUCGAGAGAAGCAGAGGGAUAUGGCCCAAUGAAGCUUCAGCAACCUCUAAUUUAUUUUAGAAAGGUGCUAAUUCCAGCAAGACGUAUGUCUUGAGAGAUAAGAG
rnacentral:ncRNA from 2 species